GACGAACGCUGGCGGCGUGCUUAACACAUGCAAGUCGAACGGAAAGGCCCUGCUUUUGUGGGGUGCUCGAGUGGCGAACGGGUGAGUAACACGUGAGUAACCUGCCCUUGACUUUGGGAUAACUUCAGGAAACUGGGGCUAAUACCGGAUAGGAGCUCCUGCUGCAUGGUGGGGGUUGGAAAGUUUCGGCGGUUGGGGAUGGACUCGCGGCUUAUCAGCUUGUUGGUGGGGUAGUGGCUUACCAAGGCUUUGACGGGUAGCCGGCCUGAGAGGGUGACCGGCCACAUUGGGACUGAGAUACGGCCCAGACGCCUACGGGAGGCAGCAGGGGGGAAUAUUGCACAAUGGGCGGAAGCCUGAUGCAGCAACGCCGCGUGCGGGAUGACGGCCUUCGGGUUGUAAACCGCUUUCGCCUGUGACGAAGCGUGCGUGACGGUAAUGGGUAAAGAAGCACCGGCUAACUACGUG
rnacentral:rRNA from 1 species